rnacentral:ncRNA from 1 species
AAGUCGGCAAAUUGGAUCCGUAACUUCGGAAUUGGCCUUGGCUCUGAGGAGCGGGGCGUGUCGGGCUUGGUCGGGAAGCGGGUCUGGCUGACGUGCCGGGCCUGGGCGAGGUGAACGGCUUCGGCCUGGAUCCGAGCUCGGUCCCGUGCCUUGGCCUCCCGCGGAUCUUCCUUGCUGCGAGGCUUCUGCAAUAGCGGUCGCCCUCUUCGGCCGCCAUUCAACGCUCAGCUCAGAACUGGCACGGACUAGGGGAAUCCGACUGUCUAAUUAAAACAAAGCAUUGCGAUGGCCCCCGCGGGUGUUGACGCAAUGUGAUUUCUGCCCAGUGCUCUGAAUGUCAACGUGAAGAAAUUCAAAAAAGCGCGGGUAAACGGCGGGAGUAACUAUGACUCUCUUAAGCAAAAAGGUUUCUGUGUCGAGCGCGAACCGAAGUACCGAACCGAUGAGGGAGUGAGAAAACCAGAUCUAGUA